GGAGUACUAGAGCUGCUCAGUCACCCAGGGGACACCCAGGCAGUGCACUGCCCAGUGCUCAACACUGGGGACUAAAUCUUCAUCAUCUGCUGGCUACAGGAGUGGGGGUGGUGUCAGCUCGACCCCAUCCUGGAGAACUCCAGGAUACCUAAGCACCAUUGGUAUCCACAUGGGUGCUCACAGCGACCCUGAGAGGUCUAGAGUAGCUGCUGCGGCCCCAGCUAAUGAAGCAGGAGGCUGGGACCUGUAGAAAGAGAAGCCUGGAGUUUAUUUAAAAAUGUGUAUUUCCUUGGAGCUGAAGUUUAUCCUUUGGAUCCUGCAAUGUAGCCCUCUCCACAGCAGGGGGCUCCAGCAUCAAGAAAGCAAGAAGAGCAGCUGAAAACACCAGAGAUACAGCCCCCAGACUCCGCAGUUGGCUUUGGGCUAUCUGAGGCCACUUGGCCAGGCACAGAGAGCAGAGGCUACAGAUGUGGCUAGACUCUGUAUAGGAAGGCAGGGAUGAAUAGGGAGCUUGGCAGUGGGGCUGUCACUCAGCAAAAAAAAAAAAAAAGAAAUUCAAGGGUCCCCUGUGCAGAGGGACUUGAAGGUGGGAGAAGGGGGAGGCAGUUUUGAGCAGUAAGAUAAGGCUAGUUCUGCAGCCCUGGAAGGGUCUGAGGGUCCGUGGUAGGCUGCCCUGAAGGGGAGCUUGUCUCCAGCAUUUGUUAAGUUUGGAGGUGA
rnacentral:lncRNA from 1 species